rnacentral:lncRNA from 1 species
UCUUUUCAUGUUCGUUUUUAGAUGAAGCAAAUAAAUGAUCUUUUAUCCUUGAACUAAUUGUUUUUCCCUUUAUGUGUGCAGGUGGGUAGAUUCUUGAAGUGGGAGCUUUGUCACGAUUAAUACAAAUACUUCAAAAUAAGAGGCUUAACAUCAUAUGAAAGAUGAGAAGAGAACAAACAGAGAAGUCUAGAUGAUCAAGAUAGUUUAUUUUAUAGGAAGCCAAUCUAUGUUAAGAGUUGGAUAAUAAGAUACCAACCUUCUUUUAAGUUUUUACAUUGUAACUAUUUUCAUCAAAUAGUAUCAUAUACGUUUCGGGACAUGUAAUUAUGCAUUUCAUUCCAAUUAAAAUUCCAAUGUAUUGAACUUAAAUUUUGGUUAUUUUGCAGUUUAUCAGCACAUGUUUCUUGUUUUUAAAUUUUGUUUUCCCUCCGUUUAUAUUGGUUGUUGGACAAAUAAUGUCUCAUUCUCAUUUCAUGUCGUUCUCCAAGUUUGCUGAAGAAUUUCUUUACUUGCUGAUUUUGAAGAACUUACUCAUUUACUUUUUCCAAUAUUCAG